AGAAUGAACGUUGGCGGCGUGGAUUAGGCAUGCAAGUCGAGCGAGAUCUGUAGCAAUACAGUGAAAGCGGCGAAAGGGAGAGUAAUGCGUAGAUACGUACCCUGGGGUUCAGGAUAGCGUCGGGAAACUGACGGUAAUACUGGAUAAUGUCUUCGGACCAAAGAUUUAUUGCCCUUGGAGCGGUCUGCGUCCUAUUAGUUAGUUGGUGGGGUAAUGGCCUACCAAGACUUAGAUGGGUACUGGGUGUGAGAGCACGACCCAGCUCACUGGGACUGAGACACUGCCCAGACACCUACGGGUGGCUGCAGUCGAGAAUCUUCCGCAAUGGGGGAAACCCUGACGGAGCGACGCCGCGUGCGGGAUGAAGGCCUUCGGGUUGUAAACCGCUGUCGGAGGGGAGCAAAUUAUGAGCGAUCCUCGGAGGAAGCACAGGACUAAACUCGUGCCAGCAGCCGC
rnacentral:rRNA from 1 species